CCAGACUCCUACGGGAGGCAGCAGUGAGGAAUAUUGGUCAAUGGGCGGAAGCCUGAACCAGCCAAGUCGCGUGAGGGAAGAAGGCCCUGCGGGUCGCAGACCUCUUUGGACGGGGAGCAAGGCCGCCGACGUGUCGGCGGAAGGAGAGUACCCGUAGAACAAGCAUCGGCUAACUCCGUGCCAGCAGCCGCGGUAAUACGGAGGAUGCGAGCGUUAUCCGGAUUUAUUGGGUUUAAAGGGUGCGUAGGCGGUUCGUUAAGUCAGCGGUAAAAUUGCGGGGCUCAACCCCGUCGAGCCGUUGAAACUGGCAGACUUGAGUUGGCGAGAAGUACGCGGAAUGCGCGGUGUAGCGGUGAAAUGCAUAGAUAUCACGCAGAACUCCGAUUGCGAAGGCAGCAUACCGGCGCCCAACUGACGCUGAAGCACGAAAGCGUGGGUAUCGAACAGGAUUAGAUACCCCAGUA
rnacentral:rRNA from 1 species